rnacentral:rRNA from 1 species
GGAUGCGAUCAUACCAGCACUAAAGCACCGGAUCCCAUCAGAACUCCGCAGUUAAGCGUGCUUGGGAGAGAGUAGUACUGGGAUGGGUGACCUCCUGGGAAGUCCUCGUGUUGCAUCCC